rnacentral:lncRNA from 1 species
AGCAGCCCUGAGGAUGGCGGCGGCGGCGGCCAGCACCGGCCGGUGGGCGGGAGCCCCGGCGGGCCGCGCCUGGUGAUCGGCUCCUUACCAGCUCACCUCUCACCGCGCAUGUUUGGAGACUAUAUCAUCAUGUACAUAGAAAAAUCCAAAGGAUUCUGCAAAAAAGCUACUAGAACCACUGACUUCAUCAAGAUGCAGUCUCCCUCUGAUGCCGAGCGGAGGCUGGACUGUACAGCCACCAUCUCGGCUCACUGCAACAUCCCUGCCUGAUUCUCCUGCCUCAGCCUGCCGAGUGCCUGGGAUUGCAGGCUCGCGCCGCCACGCCUGACUGGUUUUUGUAUUUUUUGGUGGAGAAGGGGUUUCGCCAUGUUGGCUGGGCUGGUCUCCAGCUCCUGACCGCAAGUGAUCUGCCCGCCUCGGCCUCCCGAGGUGCCAGGAUUGCAGACGGAGUCUCGCUCACUCAGUGCUCAAUGUUGCCCAGGCUGGAGUGCAGUGGCGUGAUCUCAGCUCGCUACAACCUCCACCUCCCAGCCGCCUGCCUUGGCCUCCCAAAGUGCUGAGAUUGCAGCCUCUGCCCGGCCGCCACCCCGUCUGGGAAGUGAGGAGCGUCUCUGCCUGGCCGCCCAUCGUCUGGGAUGUGAGGAGCCCCUCUGCCCGGCCGCCCAGUCUGAGAUGUGAAGAGCGCCUCUGCCCGGCCGCGACCCCGUCUGGGAACUGAGGAGUGUCUCUGCCUGGCCACCCAUCGUCUGGGAUGUGAGGAGCCCCUCUGCCCGGCCGCCCAGUCUGGGAAAUGAGGAGCGCCUCUUCCUGGCCACCAUCCCGUCUGGGAAGUGAGGAGCGUCUCUGCCCGGCCGCCCAUCGUCUGAGAUGUGGGGAGCGCCUCUGCCCGGCCGCAACCCCGUCUGGGAACUGAGGAGUGUCUCUGCCCGACCGCCACCCCGUCUGGGAGGUGAGGAACGUUUCUGCCCAGCCGCCCGUCUGAGAAGUGAGGAGCCCCUCCGCCUGGCAGCCGCCCCAUCUGGGAAGUGAGGAGCCCCUCCGCCCGGCAGCCGCCCCGUCCGGGAGGUGGGGGGCAGCCCCCACCCGGCCAGCCACCCCGCACGGGAGGGAGGUGGGGCCAGCCCCUGCCUGGCCAGCCGCCCCAUUCGGGAGGUGGGGGGCAGCCCCUGCCCGGCAGCCAUCCCGUCCGGGAGGUGGGGGGCGCCUCUGCCCGGCUGCCCCAUCUGGGAAGUGAGGAGCCCCUCUGCCCGGCAGCCACCCCGUCUGGGAGGUGUGCCCAACAGCUCAUUGAGAACGGGCCAUGAUGACGAUGGCGGUUUUGUCGAAUAGAAAGGGGGGAAAUGUGGGGAAAAGAAAGAGAAAUCAGAUUGUUGCGGCGUCUGUGUAGAAAGAAGUAGAUAUAGGAGACUCCAUUUUGUUCUGUACUAAGAAAAAUUCUUCUGCCUUGGGAUGCUGUUAAUCUAUAACCUUACCCCCAACCCCGUGCUCUCUGAAACAUGUGCUGUGUCCACUCAGGGUUAAAUGGAUUAAGGGCGGUGCAAGAUGUGCUUUGUUAAACAGAUGCUUGAAGGCAGCAUGCUCGUUAAGAGUCAUCACCACUCCCUAAUCUCAAGUACCCAGGGACACAAACACUGCGGAAGGCUGCAGGGUCCUCUGCCUAGGAAAACCAGAGACCCUUGUUCACAUGUUUAUCUGCUGACCUUCCCUCCACUAUUGUCCUAUGACCCUGCCAAAUCCCCCUCUCCAAAAAACACCCAAGAAUGAUC